rnacentral:rRNA from 1 species
CCUACGGUUGGCAGCAGUGGGGAAUCAUGGUCAAUGGGCGAAAGCCUGAACCUGCGACGCCGCGUGAGUGAUGAAGGUCGUAAGAUCGUAAAACUCUUUUCAGGGAUCUUAACGCACAGCUGUCAACAACAGCUGUGUCUGACUCUCCCUGGAAGAAGCCCCAGCCAACUACGUGCCAGCAGCUGCGGUAAUACGUAGGGGGCGAGCGUUAUUCGGAAUUACUGGGUGUAAAGGGUAUGUAGGCGGCCCUUCAAGUCGCGUGUCAAAGUCCAGUGCUCAACGCUGGGUGUGCGCGCGAUACUGACGGGCUUGAGGGCUGGAGAGGUGAGCGGAAUUCCCGGUGUAGUGGUAAAAUACGUAGAGAUCGGGAGGAACACCAGCGGCGCAGGCGGCUCACUAGACAGUUUCUGACGCUAAGAUACGAAAGCGUGGGGAGCAAACA